rnacentral:lncRNA from 1 species
AUGAGACCAAACUGUAAAAAUACAGUUAUCUUUACAUAGGAAUUUGGAUAGUUAAAGAAAAAUACAAGUUGGCAAAAAUAAAGCCUUUACCAACCUGAUUGUACAGUUCAGACCAUGUAACAGUGAAUGAAAUGCUCUCACUAUUCUGUGAUAAUCUCUUCAACUUUUGACUAUCCUCAAUUUGAUGGACUCACUGCUAAAUGAGAAGAGCACAUCAGCAUGAUUGAUUCUUGGAGUUAAUGUGCUUAAUUUUCCACUGAUUUUAAACCUGAUAUUUUUUAUUAUUGGUCCCUGACAAACAGCUCAUCUUAGGGCUAAUGACAAAUUCAGGCGUUAAAAAAAUUUGUUUUGUUGUUCAUGACCCAUUUACUCCUUUGCCAAAUUAUAUCCAUUUUUCCCCCAAGAGGACAAAAUACAUUUCCUGACUUAAAUUAUCCCAGAUUUAAUGUAUCUUCACACUCUUGCAAUUAAAGAUUGUGAAAAAAGACUGGUUUAAAAGCAAUGAUGAAACAUGACCUAGUUUGGGUUUUUAUUUAAGACUGAGCAAGCAUGCCUAUUGUAUAGCCCUGUCGCUGAUAAAUUGUCACCUAUUUGUGCUUCUGAGUGUAUUUGCAUGUGAUUAGCCACAGGAAUAAAAUAGAAAUGAAGUUGUUGAAUCUGGAAACUGGCUGCUCAAAUGAAACUCGCAUCAGCCUCUAGUCUUCACUGUCAUCUGAAUGUUCUUAGGAAUCUGGAAUUUACCUAAUGAAGAUGUGUCAUUUUUUAAUGGAAUUUUUCAGGUAUUUCUUUCUGGACUUUUUUUGUUUACAUGGAACUUUCUUGCAUAUUGCUAGGUGGAUCAGUGGUCUCCUUUUGGUACGAAGCCAAGACACUGAACCUGCUCUGAAUUCUGAUGGGAAUAAUCCGGAAAGAAUGUUGAUUUUCAAGGGAGAA